UCCCUAGAGGCUCAGUCGGUAAAGCAUUUGCUUGCAAUGCAGGAGACCUGGGUUCGAUCCCUGGGUCGGGAA
rfam:Ovis aries breed Texel chromosome 1, whole genome shotgun sequence.